ensembl:misc_RNA Metazoa_SRP Metazoan signal recognition particle RNA
GCCAGAUGUGGUGGCACGUGCCUGUAGUCCCACCUGCUUGGGAGGUUGAGGCUGGAGGAUUGCUUGACCUCAGGAGUUCUGGGCUGUAGUGCACCGACCGAUCAGGUGUCUGCACUAAGUUUGGCGUAUGGACACCUCCCAGGAGCAGGAGACCACUAGGUUGCCUAAGUAGGGGUGAACUGGCCCAGGUCGGAAAUGGAACAGGUCAAAACUCCCAUGCUGAUCAGUAGUGGGGUCAUGCCUGUGAAUAGCCACUGCAUUCCAGCCUGGGAAACAUAGAGAGACUCUGUCUCUA